AGUGAGGGAAGAGGAGGCGGAGGAAGGAAUGCUGUAGGAUGCUGGUUAUUAUGGCUGUCAGUGACGACUAGAGGAAAACACACACUCACACACACACACACACACACCGCUUCUCAUGCAAGAUUUACGUGGAUGAUUCGCACCAUGUCCGCUGCAGCCGUCGCGGUAUGGCUCGCAACGGUUUACACUGUGCAUGCCUAUGGAAAAGUGCAAAUGGAGCCAUCCGUGGCCUUGCUGCAGAGAGGAAGAGCCCAGCAUGGAGACGCGGUCAUCAUCUUGUCGAGGUCACACUCCGACCGUAACGUCUACGCCUCUGCGGGAGUCCUCUUUGUCCAUGUCCUGGUGAGGGAGCACUUCAAAGAAGAGUUUCCUCCUUACCCCAAGUCAGGCGACACCAGCGACGACCCCAUCACCUUCAACACCAACCUGAAGGGCUACCCCGACCGGCCGGGCUGGCUGCGCUACAUCCAGAGGACCCCCCACAGUGACGGGGUGCUGUACGGCUCCCCCACGGCGGAGCAUGUUGGGAAGGCCAUGGUCAUAGAGAUAACCGCUUAUAACAGACGCACGUUUGAGACGGCGCGCCACAACUUGGUCAUAAACAUCAAGGCUACAGAAGAGUUCCCUCUGCCCUAUCAAGCGGAGUUCUACAUCAAGAACAUGAAUGUGGAGGAGAUGCUGGCCAGCGAGGUGCUGGGAGACUUCUUCGGGGCCGUGAAGAACGUUUGGCAGCCUGAAAAGCUGAACACCGUGAACAUCACCUCGGCGCUGGACCGUGGUGGCCGCGUCCCCCUGCCCAUCAACAAUCUGAAAGAAGGUGUGUAUGUGAUGAUCGGUGCCGACGUUCCCUUCUCAUCCUGCCUACGGGAGGUGGAGAACCCUCACAACCAGCUGCGCUGCAGUCAGGAGAUGGAGCCCGUCAUCAGCUGUGACAAGAAAUUCAGAGCUCAGUUUCACGUGGACUGGUGUAAGAUUACCCUGGUGGACAUCAACAAAGUAGUCCCUGUGUACAUUAGCCGUCCCGACCCGGGUGCUGGGAUCCUGCCUGAUUUUGGAGAGUACAACCCCCCCCCAGAGUCUCUGACCAGCAGGGACUACUUUUACGACUUCCUGGUGACGCUGGCCGUUCCCUCGGCCGUGGCGCUGGUCCUCUUCCUCAUCCUCGGCUACACCAUGUGCUGCAGACGGGAAGGGGUGGGAAAAAGAAACAUGCAAACACCAGCAAUCCAGCUGGUUCAUCACAGCUCCAUCCAGAAGUCCAGCAAAGAGCUUAGGAGCAUGUCCAAGAACCGUGAGAUCUCCUGGCCCCUCUCCACCCUGCCCGUCUUCAACCCAGUCAGCGGGGAGGUGGUGCCGCCCAUCCACCCCGACAACUACGAGACCACCAGCAUGCCUCUGAUGCAGACACAGGCGAAUCUGCAAAACCAGAUUACAAUCCCACAGCAGAGGCCUUCAGCCACCUAAGGAGGUCUGGGUCAUGUGUGUGUGUGAGCACCCUCCUGUGAGCAAAGCACCCAGCUGCAUGCUGCACUAACCGACUGCUCUCUGUUCACUGCUAACAAAGGAGAUAAUUAUGUCAUGUCGACGUUUCGGAGGCUGGAGGUAAAUGGUAUUCCUGAGGAGAGGAAAGUGGCUGAAGCCCUGAACUUAUGACCAGCAGCAUGGUAUCAGAGACACUCUCCAACCAUCUGUCUGGGCCAACCCGCACGUCGGCCGUGUCGCCCGCCCACUCCUGAAGCAAGACACCACCUUUAUCUGCCAUCUUGUGCUUGUCUGUACUCGUUUUGCACAAUGGACCUAAAGAGAAUCACAUUUUAUGUCAUGUGCCAUAUAACAUUAAAGUCUUUAAAAACAA